UACGGAGGAUGCAAGCGUUAUCCGGAUUUAUUGGGUUUAAAGGGUGCGUAGGCGGCCGAGUAAGUCAGCGGUGAAAUUUUGCAGCUUAACUGUAACAGUGCCGUUGAUACUGCGUGGCUAGGAUUUGGUUGCUGUGGGUGGAAUGUGUGGUGUAGCGGUGAAAUGCUUAGAUAUCACACAGAAUAUCAAUUGCGAAGGCAGCUCACAAAGCCAAGAUUGACGCUGAGGCACGAAAGUGUGGGGAUCAAACA
rnacentral:rRNA from 1 species